UCGGCGAAGAAUAUUACAGUAAUAGAGAAUGAAGAAUUGUCUCUAAGCGUUAAAUCUAAUUGAUCCAACGGAUGAUAGAAAGUCUCGAAUAGAAAAAAAAAACUAAAGUCAUUCAAAAAUUAUGUUGACCGACUGAUUUACAAACAAAAGGGGUUAAAUGGAAUUUUACUCCACCAGUAAAUAUCGAAUAUUCUACACAAUCCCGGUAAUCACUCUUCCACUCUCCAUUGAUACUAUCGAGAAAUUAGGGUAGAAAAAACUGGAACAAAAUAUCAAAAUCAAAACCACCAUUCCAUUUAGCUUGAAGAAGAACAGAAGAAAAAUUGAAGAACCAAGUCAUUGUUGCAGAGAAAAAAAAAUCGAACAAGAUGACAACAAAGAAGGGGAAGCAGAAAAUUUUACAAGUUCAUGGAAGCAAUAAGAAGAAGAAAACAGCAAUGGAUACAAGACAACCAAAUGAAGAUGACGGUAAAUAAUAUGCUUCACCUCUAUAUUCAACAUAAAAUGACAUUAUUCAAAUUUUUAUUCACCUGUAUUCAAAAAGUUAAUAGUAUAAUUCGUUUUUUUCAUAAUAACAUGUAAAAUCACUAUAUUAAAAAAUAUUAUCUAAUUAUUCGAUAUAUUGUUUGAUAUAUUCGAAAUGCAUAAAUACUAUUUUAUAUAAAUUACUUCUUAUUGCAUUUGACAACAUAAAAUGACAUUAU